rnacentral:rRNA from 1 species
AGUUUGAUCAUGGCUCGAUUGAACGCUGGUGGGAUGCUUACACAUGCAAGUCGAACGGCAGCACGGACUUCGGUCUGGUGGCGAGUGGCGAACGGGUGAGUAAUGUAUCGGAACGUGCCUAGCGGGGGAUAACUACGCGAAAGCGGUGUAGCUAAUACCGCAUACGCCCUCGGGGAAAGCGGGGACCUUCGGGCCUCGCACACUGAGCAGAGCGGCCGAUAUCGAUUAUGCAGCUGUGGGGUAAUGCAGUCACCAAGGCGACGAUCCGUAGCUGGUCGGAGAGGACGACCAGCCACACUGGGACUGAGACACGGCCCAGACUCCUACGGAGGCAGCAGUGGGGAAUUUUGGAUAAUGGAAAUCUGAUCCAGCUUUGUCCGUGUGCGAUGAAGGCCUCGGGUUGUAAAGCACUUUUGGUGAAAGAAACGGCACGGGAUAAUACCCCGUGCAAUCUGAUUUCAAACGUAGACAAGUGAACGGCUUAACUACAGCGCAGCAGCUGCUGGUAAUACGUAGGGUAAGCGUUAAUCGGAAUUACUGGGCGUAAAGCGUGCGCAGGCGGUUCGGAAAGAAAGAUGUGAAAUCCUGUAUUUGCAACUUUGAACUGCAUUUUUAACUACCGAGCUAGAGUGUGUCAGAGGGAGUGUGUGAAUUCCGCGUGUAGCAGUGAAAUGCGUAGAUAUGCGGAGGAACACCGAUGGCGAAGGCAGCCUCCUGGGAUAACACUGACGCUCAUGCACGAAAGCGUAGAGCAAACAGGAUUAGAUACCCUGGUAGUCCACGCCCAAACGAUGUCAACUAGCUGUUGGGGCCUUCUGGGCCUGGUAGCGCAGCGCUAACGCGUGAAGUUGACCGCCUGGGGAGUACGGUCGCAAGAUUAAAAACUCAAAGGAAUUGACGGGGACCCGCACAAGCGGUGGAUGAUGUGGAUUUAAUUUGAGCAACGCAAAACGCAGCCUACCCUUUAUAUGCUGGAAUCCCGAAGAGAUUUGGGAGUGCUCGCAAGAGAACCGGAACACAGGUGCUGCAUGGCUGUCGUCAGCUCGUGUCGUGAGAUGUUGGGUUAAGUCCGUAACGAGCGCAACUUGCACAUUAGUUGCUACGAGGGCACUCCGACGAUUCGCCAGAGCAAACGAGAAGGUGGGGAUGACGUCAAGUCCUCAUGGCCCUUAUGGGUAGGGCUUCACACGUCAUACAAUGGUCGGGACAGAGGGUCGCCAACCCGCGAGGAGGAGCCAAUCCCAGAAACCCGAUCGUAGUUCCGGAUUCGCGUAGCGCCCUGCACCUGACUGUGCAGUCAAUCGCUAGUAAUCGCGGAUCAGCAUGUCGCGGUGAAUAUGUCCGGUCUUGUACACACCGCUUUCGUCACACCAUGGGAGUGGGUUUUACCUGUAGCGUAGUUGUUUUCAACCGCAGAUAAGACACUAUGUAGAUCUCAGCAUCAAGAAGUCGUAACAAGGUAG